rnacentral:misc_RNA from 1 species
AAUGAACUAGGUGCUGUAAGC